rnacentral:rRNA from 1 species
GAGCUAAGCUUAAAACCCAAAGGACUUGACGGUACCCCAAAUCCACCUAGAGGAGCCUGUCCUAUAACCGAUAACCCCCGUUCAACCUCACCACUUUUUGCUCAUCAGCCUGUAUACCUCCGUCGUCAGCUUACCCCGUGAGCGUCAAAGUGAGCUUAAUGCCCCAUCGCCAACACGUCAGGUCAAGGUGCAGCUAAUGAAGUGGGAAGAGAUGGGCUACACUUUCUACUUUAGAAAAAACGAAAGACUACAUAUGAAACCUAGUCAGAAGGAGGAUUUAGAAGUAAAAAGAAAACAUGAGUGUUCCUUUUAACCCGGC